GACAGAGGAUGCGAGCGUUAUCCGGAGUCAUUGGGCGUAAAGGGUACGUAGGCGGCUAGUCAAGUCUGAGGUUAAAGACCACAGCUUAACUGUGGGAAGGCCUUGGAAACUGACUGGCUAGAGUGGGGCAGGGGUUGCGGGAAUUCCCGGUGUAGCGGUGAAAUGCGUAGAUAUCGGGAAGAACACCUGAGGCGAAAGCGCGCAACUGGGCCCUAACUGACGCUGAGGUACGAAAGCUAGGGGAGCGAAUGGG
rnacentral:rRNA from 1 species